UACGUAGGGUGCAAGCGUUGUCCGGAAUUAUUGGGCGUAAAGAGUGUGUAGGCGGUGCUCUAAGUCUGUUGUGAAAUCUCCCGGCUUAACUGGGAGGGUGCGGCGGAGACUGGAGUGCUAGAGUGUGGGAGAGGUAAGCGGAAUUCCUGGUGUAGCGGUGAAAUGCAUAGAUAUCAGGAGGAACACCUGUGGUGUAGACAGCUUACUGGACCACGACUGACGCUGAGACACGAAAGCGUGGGUAGCAAACAGG
rnacentral:rRNA from 1 species